UACGUAGGGUGCGAGCGUUGUCCGGAAUUAUUGGGCGUAAAGAGCUCGUAGGCGGUUUGUUGCGUCGGCCGUGAAAACCUGCAGCUUAACUGUGGGCCUGCGGUCGAUACGGGCAGACUUGAGUUCGGUAGGGGAGACUGGAAUUCCUGGUGUAGCGGUGAAAUGCGCAGAUAUCAGGAGGAACACCGGUGGCGAAGGCGGGUCUCUGGGCCGAUACUGACGCUGAGACGCGAAAGCGUGGGGAGCGAACAGG
rnacentral:rRNA from 1 species